rnacentral:rRNA from 1 species
UGCAGUCGAACGAACUCUUCGGAGUUAGUGGCGGACGGGUGAGUAACACGUGGGAACGUGCCUUUAGGUUCGGAAUAACUCAGGGAAACUUGUGCUAAUACCGAAUGUGCCCUUCGGGGGAAAGAUUUAUCGCCUUUAGAGCGGCCCGCGUCUGAUUAGCUAGUUGGUGAGGUAAAGGCUCACCAAGGCGACGAUCAGUAGCUGGUCUGAGAGGAUGAUCAGCCACAUUGGGACUGAGACACGGCCCAAACUCCUACGGGAGGCAGCAGUGGGGAAUCUUGCGCAAUGGGCGAAAGCCUGACGCAGCCAUGCCGCGUGAAUGAUGAAGGUCUUAGGAUUGUAAAAUUCUUUCACCGGGGACGAUAAUGACGGUACCCGGAGAAGAAGCCCCGGCUAACUUCGUGCCAGCAGCCGCGGUAAUACGAAGGGGGCUAGCGUUGCUCGGAAUUACUGGGCGUAAAGGGAGCGUACGCGGACAUUUAAGUCAGGGGUGAAAUCCCGGGGCUCAACCUC